rnacentral:lncRNA from 1 species
CCUCCCCCGCGGGUGCUACAGGUCGAAGUUAAAACAAAUCAUUAGGCUUCCAAAUCUGUAACCCUCCACUGGCCAUGCCCCCAGUUACUUCUCUGUGACAGUCUGAAUGUUUUACUAUCUGGUUUUCUAUUGUAGUACCCUGUAUGUCCACUAUGUGUCGCUACUGAAUCCAGAGCUUAUAAAAUGUUUUUCGCUAUUCAUGCUACAGUGACGAUAAACAGCACUUAUCUCCCAUAUCAUAACAUAUUUUACUAAAUUAAUGUUUAUCUGAAAAAUGCACAUUUUCUUUUCUAAAUGAGAAUACCAUGUUCAUCACUAAGGCUCUUCUGAUUUUCAGACACAACGUCCUCUUCCAUUUUUCAUCCACCCGAACAUGAACUGGUGGAGCUCUACAGCACUGAUGAUGUCAGCAGUCCUCCCACAGCCAUCACUACUGAGCCAUUUGCUAACAUGAACAGAACUCACAGAACCACUAAACCCUCCAGAACCUCCAACAUCCACAGUUCACCAUCUGAAACCGUUUUGACUCAUGUGAAUACCACCAGACCACCAGAUUUGCAUCCAGAUGCUUCAUCUUCAGUCACACAGCUAUCACUCUCACCCAGUCCAGCAGUGCUCACCACUGACCAAUCAGACAAGCCAGACAGAACAUCAGAAAUAAGACAGCCACAGCUCAAGAUAGAAGCAGCAUCAGUGCAGUCAGAAGGGCCCAACACAUCGGCCUCUCCACAUGAAAACCAGCAGAAUUCAACAUGGAGGAGAACCAUACGUCUGAUUUUCCCUACAGGUCCUCCGCUGACGAGCAUGGGCGAAACAAAGAUGGCCACAGUUCCAUCUGGUUACUUGUCUGGAGCUGCUGUUUCUGAGUCAACAACACCUCAAUCUUCUGAUAAGGACAUAUAUACCUCAGCUCCCCCUGCUGUAGAUGACCCAUCUGUCAAGUCUCACCUCAAACCUGCAAGAAGAAUUAUGACAGAGACAGGCACAUCACCACUCACACAUGCUUCCACAGGGGCAGUAACACCUACUAUUACACCCACGGUUGGAUGACUACUGUCAAAACUACACCACUGUACCCUGCCAGCAUCUCCACCAGAACCUCAAGCAGAACCGUUUCACCUGCUGCUCGCUCCACCACACCUGUGAGUACACUGCCUGAUUGUUGCAAGUUUUAUCAUUUUUGAAAACUUCUUAAACCAAAAUUACAAACAGGUAAACUGUUUCAACAUGUUUUAAUUUUCAUAGUUAUACAUAUGUUCCAAAUUUUAAACCACAAAAAAUGCAACAGGACUUCUUCAAUUGUUGCUUGAAUAUGUUUAACUUAUCAUCCUAAAUACCACCUCAUUUUGGGGAAAUCUGUAGAUUUCUGAGUGAUGAGAUUUAGGGUCACUUCACAAUUUAAUGUUUGUUCUUCAUCUUUAAUAUAAAUAUAGAUUCUUCUGCUUGUUUUCCUUUCCUACCAUGUUCUCUGGACGCUUCAACAUCAGUGCUCUUAGGAUCCACUAAGGUCUUCUUUGUCUGUUCUUCAGUUUAUGUGAGGACAAUGCUUUUGAGGUCUUAUGAUGAUUUUCAUUUCACUUUUUAAUGGGUGUCAAAAAGUAGAUUCUGGUCUGGAGACCCACACAUUGUACAUUUCCAAUCUCAAGGUCAAAGAAGGGUCAGCUUUAAUUGUAAAGCACGUAUACUUUUGCUCACUCAACCCAAAGUACUGUAUAUGACAAUGCAGCCACAAAAAAACACACCCAAAGAAAUAAUAAACCCAUGAAUAAAAUGACAAAGUCAAGUAAUAAAACCACAGUAAAAGUAGAUAAAAGGUAAAAGAAAAGCUACACAGAUCAAAGCAAUGCAUUUUAAGUAAAGACUUCAAAUACUCCAAACUAUGAGAGGUCCUUAGUUGUAUUGGAAGGCUGAUUCAGAGCCCAGGACCAGCCACUGAUGAUGCUCUACCUCCACGGGUCUCCAGACGGGCUUUUGUUUUAUUAAACAGGAACUGGACCUCAUGAUUCUGACAGGAGUGUAGGUGGUCGUGGAUCAUCUGUGUAUUGUGAAGCCAGUCCAUGGAGAGAUUUAAAAACACACCCAAAACACACACUUUUGUAUCUGACUGCAAAAGUCAGAAAUGUUAAAAGCUAAAAAUUGAAAAUAAAAAUAUAAAAUGGAAUUUCGAUUUAUCUUAACUGUUAGCAGAUUUAGCCGCUUAUUGCUGUCAUGAAACAAGUCGUCACCUCAGAUCUUUAGAAACCCACAGCAUGACAUCAUCAAAGCCAACCAAGUCUGUAUGUUAUAUGACAUCACAAGUGUGAGAGAGCACACGAGUGAGAGAGCACACGAGUGAGAGAGCACACGAGUGAGAGAACACACGAGUGAGAGAGCACACGAGUGAGAGAACACACGAGUGAGAGAACACACGAGUGAGAGAACACACGAGUGAGAGAACACACGAGUGUGAGAACACACGAGUGAGAGAGCACAUGAGAGUGAGAGCACACAAGUGAAAGAGCACAUGAGUGAGAGAGCACACGAGUGAGAGAACACACGAGUGAGAAAUCACACAAGUGAGAGAACACACGAGUGAGAAAUCACACAAGUGAGAGAACACACGAGUGAGAGAGCACACGAGUGAGAGAACACACAAGUGAGUGAACAUUCAGUGAGAGAACACACGAGUGAGAGAGCACACGAGUGAGAGAGCACAUGAGUGAGAGAGCACACGAGUGAGAGAGCACACGAGUGAGAGAACACACGAGUGAGAAAUCACACGAGUGAGAGAGCACACGAGUGAGAGAGCACACAAGUGAGAGAGCACACGAGUGAGAGAACACACAAGUGAGAGAACACACAAGUGAGAGAACACACGAGUGAGAAAUCACACAAGUAAGAGAGCACACAGUGAGAGAACACACGACUGAGGGAACACGAGUGAGAGAACACGAGUGGAAGAGCACUCGAGUGAGAGAGCACAUGAGUGAGAGAACACACGAGUGAGAGAACACAUGAGUGAGAGAGCACUCGAGUGAGAGAGCACACGAGUGAGAGAACACACAAGUGAGAGAACACACUAGUGAGAAAUCACACAAGUGAGAGAGCACACAGUGAGAGAACACACGAGUGAGAGAACACUUGAGUGAGAGAGCACACGAGUGAGAGAGCACAUGAGUGAGAGAGCACACGAGUGAGAGAACACACAAGUGAGAGGACACACAAGUGAGAAAUCACACAAGUGAGAGAGCACACAGUGAGAGAGCACACGAGUGAGAAAACACAAGUGUGAGAGAGCACACGAGUGAGAGAACACGAGUGAGAGAACACACGAGUGAGAGAACACGAGUGAGAGCACACGAGUGAGAGAACACACGAGUGAGAGAACACGAGUGAGAGAACACACGAGUGAGAGAGCACAAGUGUGAGAGAACACACGAGUGAGAGAACACGAGUGAGAGAGCACACGAGUGAGAGAGUACACGAGUGAGAGAACACACGACUGAGGGAACACAGGAGUGAGAGAACACGAGUGGAAGAACACUCGAGUGAGAGAGCACAUGAGUGAGAGAGCACAUGAGUGAGAGAACACAUGAAUGAGAGAGCACACGAGUGAGAGAACACACGAGUGAGAGAGCACAUGAGUGAGAGAACACACGAGUGAGAGAGCACACGUGCAGGUCAGGAACCAGGAGGAUGUCCGGAGUGUCACCGUGAACAGCGACCACAGGCGGCACAUGUACUUUGACAUGAGUAGCAUCCACCCAGUUGCCAACAUUGGCCAUGUGCUUCAGUCAGUAGAUGUCCUCUGGGGACACGACCUGUAAGGUGAUGAUGAACGCUAGUUCUCUAGCAUCGGGUCUACUCGAAGUGCCCAACAAGACAGCUAGGUGAGUUUGAAGGGAAAUCCCAUUUCCAUUCAUAGUCCUGCUAUGCGCGUCUCAAACCACAGCCAGAAAAACAAGAUAUGGAGGAAUCCUCCCCAUGAGGAGGGUGUCUAUAGAAGCACUAACUCCCAGAAUACAGUCGGACAGGCCAGUGGUCAGCAGCUGGGUGUGGGCGUAAUCGACCCAGAUGAAUAAACGUAGUUCGUUCAACGCGGCGGCAGUUUUACGCAACAUCUUGCUGUGUGUAUUUAGGACCACCAUAGUAUGGCAUUCAGAAGUCUUUGCAGCUUCAAGGCACGCUGUAAAGGAGCACAGGAAGCUAUCUAUGACAAACAGGACAACUUUGCAUGAAACAGAGGAGGAGGACUCAGGUUCACCUUUCCAGCACCUUUAAUGCAGCUCUGAAUCUAACUCCAAAGUUUCAGUCCAGGUCACACCUUCCUGCAUCUAAUCAAAUCAACCAUUCUAACACAAUGGGACACAACAACAUGAAAAAACUCAUCAGGGUUUAGGGAGGAGGGGUAUUCAGAGGGAGUUUCUGCUCCUUAAGCAACAACAGAAAGCUAUAGUUUAUAAGUUUGACCCUCCCAUAUUGCAGUCACAACUGACAAAGCUCCUCUGAUGAGAAGCAAAACAUCUUCAAGAAACCAAAGAAGUCCAGCUGCCUUCAUUUGAACCCCUUUGAAUGAUUGAAAUCAUCCUGGGUUUGGCUGUUUGCUAUCACC